CCAUUUCAUCCAUCUUGUUUUGAUUUAUGAGUUACAAUCUCAUUUGUUAUUCCAUUCUUCUAGAUAAUAAAACCUAAAUACUUGAAUUGGUUGCAUUUUGUCACAAAAACUCCAUCCAAUCAAACCUCCCCUCCAUGUUUUCUACAAGAGCUAAACUCACAAUUCAUAUAUUCUAUAUUACUUCUACUUAGCCUAAAACCUUUACUAGCCUAAAACCUUUACUCUCAAUAGCCCUUCUCCAUAACUCCAAGUUUAGUUAACUAAUUUACUAAGAUAACAUCAUUUGUAAAUAUCAUGUACCAUGGGGCCAUCUUGAAUAUGAUUAAUUAGCUCAUUCAUAACUAAGCUAAAUAGGCAUGGACUCAAAUCCAAUUCUUGAUAUAAGCUCACUAUUAUGGGAAACUUGUUAGUAUCGUCUAUCACUAUCCUUA
rnacentral:misc_RNA from 1 species